GACAGAGGGUGCAAACGUUGCUCGGAAUUAUUGGGCGUAAAGAGCGUGUAGGCGGCCAUACAGGUCAGCUGUGAAAACUCGAGGCUCAACCUCGAGACGUCGGUUGAAACCGUAUGGCUAGAGUCCGGAAGAGGAGAGUGGAAUUCCCGGUGUAGCGGUGAAAUGCGCAGAUAUCAGGAGGAACACCGGUGGCGAAGGCGGGUCUCUGGGCCGAUACUGACGCUGAGGAGCGAAAAGCGUGGGGAGCGAACAGG
rnacentral:rRNA from 1 species